UGAGCAAUCUGCCCUUCUCAUCGGAAUAAGCGUUGGAAACGACGUCUAAUGCCGAAUACGACCUCCUUUCGCAUGAUCGGAGGUGGAAAGCUCCGGCGGAGAAGGAUGAGCUCGCGGCCUAUCAGCUAGUUGGUGUGGGUAAUGGCUCACCAAGGCGUCGACGGGUAGCCGGCCUGAGAGGGUGUCCCGGCCACACUGGGACUGAAAUCGGCCCAGACUCCUACGGGAGCAG
rnacentral:rRNA from 1 species